rnacentral:rRNA from 1 species
UAAGACGUAGGAGGCGAGCGUUAUCCGGAUUUACUGGGCGUAAAGGGCAAGUAGGCGGUGAUGCAAGUCAGUUGUGACAGAUCCCGGCUCAACUGGGAAAGGACGAUUGAGACUGCAUAACUAGAGGGCAGGAGAGGGGAGCGGAAUUCCUUGUGUAGCGGUGGAAUGCUCAGAUACAAGGAGGAACACCAGUGGCGAAGGCGGCUCUCUGGCCUGCACCUGACGCUGAAGAGCGAAAGCUAGGGGAGCGAACGGG